rnacentral:sRNA from 1 species
UGAUAGACAGACCUUUCUGUAAGAUUUUCACCAAGCGGAUCCAGAACCGAAACACAGCCUGUGGAUGUUUCUCAUGGAGCCUCAGGAUCUUCAUUCCUUAGUAAAGACCCGCCGGCCUCUAGGUGUAUGCCUAAAUCCCAACACUUGGGAGCUAAGAGCAGGAGUUCAAGUUCAGCUUGGCUAUGUGACUUUGUCUCAAAAAAUUUUUAAAUAAAAACAAUCUGCCCUCAUCAA